rnacentral:rRNA from 1 species
UACGUAGGUGGCAAGCGUUGUCCGGAAUUAUUGGGCGUAAAGGGCGUGUAGGCGGCUAAUUAAGUCAGACGUGAAAUCUUCGGGCUUAACCCGAAAACUGCGUUUGAAACUGGAGAGCUUGAGGACCGGAGAGGGUAGUGGAAUUCCCAGUGUAGCGGUGAAAUGCGUAGAUAUUGGGAGGAACACCAGUGGCGAAGGCGACUGCCUGGACGGCACCUGACGCUGAGGCGCGAAAGCUAGGGGAG